rnacentral:rRNA from 1 species
AAUGAACGCUGGCGGCAUGCCUUACACAUGCAAGUCGAACGGCAGCAUGGAGAGCUUGCUCUCUGAUGGCGAGUGGCGAACGGGUGAGUAAUGCAUCGGAACGUACCGUGUAAUGGGGGAUAACGUAGCGAAAGUUAAGCUAAUACCGCAUACGACCUGAGGGUGAAAGCAGGGGCUCGCAAGACCUUGCGUUAUACGAGCGGCCGAUGUCAGAUUAGCUAGUUGGUGAGGUAAAGGCUCACCAAGGCGACGAUCUGUAGCGGCUCUGAGAGGAUGAUCCGCCACACUUGGACGGAGACACGGCCCAGACUCCUACGGGGUGCAGCAGUGGGGAAUUUUGGACAAUGGGGGCAACCCUGAUCCAGCCAGGCCGCGUGAGUGAAGAAGGCCUUCGGGUUGUAAAGCUCUUUCGGCCGGGAAGAAAUCGCACAGGCUAAUACUCUGUGUGUAUGACGGUACCGGCAUAAGAAGCACCGGCUAACUACGUGCCAGCCGCCGCCGUAA